CGUGGAGCGGUAGGGGCUGUCGUAGUUGCUGCAAAGCCAACAAAUGUGGGCAGGGGAGGGCGAGGGAGAGAGGAAGGUGGAUAGUAUCAGUCAGCAAUUGCAACGCUCUCUCGCAUUAUUUUGCCAUAAAUUUAAAUUGUUUAACAUAAACGUUGAUUAAAGUCUGCAGCAUCGCAGCAUUUAGGCUGUCGCUUGAAUGGCCUCUGUCUGAGGAUCGGGGCUUGCCAGGAGGAUCGUCCUCACCCAKCCAGCCAGUCAGAUCGACACAGACAAAUAAUGCGCGUGUGUAAAAUUGAGUAAUUGCCGCACUGGCAAUCAGCGGGCAAUCAUUUCGAGCUCCCCAUCGYAACAGACAUGGACAUGGACAUGCACUUGGCUGUGGACUCCCCGGACGUGCCAUUGCUCCGGUCGCGCCUUGUGAUUUAUGUCCCGCUUGCCCAUGGUGUGGGCAACUUGAUUGGCCUGUCCUGGCUGCCACUGCGCCCGCUGCCUGACGUUUGGCUUCUUUGUUUGCAAAUGAUAAACGACGUGAGCGUCUAGCUUCUCAGUUCUACAAUUCAGUUCGCCUCAGCCCAGUGCUGAUCUACGCGUUCCUGUGUUCCUAGGAAAUGUUGCGCCAGCGAUUACAUUUGUGCGCUGCCACAGCUCGUAGGCUCUAUUACCAUCAGGGCUAAUUUAUGCAUGGCUGCUGGUGGCUUCUGCGCCAGCGACAUUGAUGGGGUCAACGAGGGCCUUUGCCACUGCUCACUGUAAAUGAUUUGACUCGAAAUCCACUGAUACUCACUAGAGUCUUGCAUGGCUAUCUUUCUAUCUAUCUGUG